rnacentral:rRNA from 1 species
CCUACGGGAGGCAGCAGUGAGGAAUAUUUGUCAAUGGACGAGAGUCUGAACCCGCCAAGUAGCGUGAAGGAUGACUGCCCUAUGGGUUGUAAACUUCUUUUAUAAAGGAAUAAAACGAGCCACGUGUGUCUUUUUGCAUGUACUUUAUGAAUAAGGCUCGGCUAACUCCGUUCCAGCCGCCGCGGUAAUACGGAGGAUGCGAGCGUUAUCCGGAUUUAUUGGGUUUAAAGGGAGCGUAGAUGGUUUGUUAAGUCAGUUGUGAAAGUUUGCGGCUCAACCGUAAAAUUGCAAUUGAUCCUGGCAGUCUUGAGUACAGUUGAGGUAGGCGGAAUUCGUGGUGUAGCGGUGAAAUGCUUAGAUAUCACGAAGAACCCCGAUUGCGAAGGCAGCUUACUAAACUGUGACUGACAUUGAUGCUCGAAAGUGUGGGUAUCAAACAGGAUUAGAUACCCUUGUAGUC